rnacentral:rRNA from 1 species
UACGUAGGGUGCAAGCGUUGUCCGGAAUUAUUGGGCGUAAAGAGCUUGUAGGCGGUUUGUCGCGUCGAAUGUGAAAACCCGGGGCUCAACCCCGGGCCUGCAUUCGAUACGGGCAGACUAGAGUUCGGUAGGGGAGUCUGGAAUUCCUGGUGUAGCGGUGAAAUGCGCAGAUAUCAGGAGGAACACCGGUGGCGAAGGCGGGACUCUGGGCCGAUACUGACGCUGAGGAGCGAAAGCGUGGGGAGCAAACAGG